rnacentral:misc_RNA from 1 species
GACAAAGAUCUUUGAGCGCAACGUUUUCAAGAAGAACAGGAAAUGUUAAUAUUGUUGUAAUAAACUGUUGUAUGUAUAAAGUAUGUACUCAAAGGUUGAAAAGACGUGUUUUCCUGUAAUAUGAAUGUACCUGUUUAUUCUUUAAAACUUACUUUUUGUUUUAUCACGCCCGGUACAUGACAAAUUCAAAUUUAUGUAUUUCUCAUUUCAUUUUCUCAUUUAUGCAUCUAGUUCAAUAUAUGAAAUAAAAAAACAUUUUGAU